UACGUAGGGGGCGAGCGUUGUCCGGAGUUACUGGGCGUAAAGCGCACGCAGGCGGUCUGCUAAGUUUGGAGUGACAGUUGGUGGCUUAACUGCCAAAGUGCUUCGAAAACUGACAGACUUGAGGGCUUCAGAGGGACACGGAAUUCCGGGUGGAGUGGUGAAAUGCGCAGAUAUCGGGAGGAACACCAGUGGCGAAGGCGGUUGCCUGGGGCUUUGCUGACGCUGAUGCGCGAAAGCGUGGGGAGCGAUCCGG
rnacentral:rRNA from 1 species